GUUUUCAGGACUUUCUGUCCCGCUGUUUUAUGGGGAAGGCGGGGGAAGACACGCAGACAUCAAUUCGACUAAACAAAGUUUAUCAAUAAUAUUAAAAAUAAAAAGUAAAGCCCCUUUCUGAACAUUAUGGCUUAUUCCUUGAUUAUCCUUCUUAAUGCCACAGCGUGGCUAUCUCAGAACAAAAUUAGAGACUAACAGUAAAUUUACUUUAAUUUUUACGAAUAAUUCUCUAUCAAUGUAAAAAUUUUUCAUAUACGCGUGUAUGAAAGAAAAACACUACUAUUUUUCCACAUUCGUGAAAACUGCUUAACUGGGACAGUAACCGAGCGGCCAGUGAAUAUUUAAAAUACUGUAACCGACGAAUACGUAUGCUUCUAGGACCACGUGGAAUCUUUCCCAUGGAUUUCACCAUGUUGCCCAGGCUGGUCUCAAAACUUCUGAAUUCAAGCAGUCCGCCCGCCUCUGCCUCCCAAACUGUUGAGAUUACAGGCGUGAGCCACCGCACCCAGCCUCAAGAAUGUCUUAAAUAAUUAACUUUCUCCAGGUAAGAAGACCACUGGCCAUGGACUGGUUCUGGCUGGUCUACAGAGGUCGCACAUUUGCAUGGCUUCAUGUCCUGAAAGACCUUUUGACGUAUAGGGCUCGUAAUACAUUUAAAUGUUAAGUCUUGGCUGGGUGUGGUGGCUCACGCCUGUAAUCCCAGCACUUUGGGAGGCCCAGGUGGGAAGAUCACGAGGUCAGGAGCUUGAGACCAGCCUGGCCAACAUGGGGAAACCCCAUCUCUACUAAAAAUACGAAAAUUAGCCAGGCGUGGGGGCAGGUUCCUGUAAUCCCAGCUACUCAGGAGGCUGAGGCAGGAGUAUCGCUUGAAACCGGGAAGUGGAGGUUACAGUGAGCUGAGAUCACAUCGUUGCAGUCCAGCCUGGGUGACAGAGCAAGACUCCGUCUGAACAACAACAACAAAAAAGUUAAGUCUCCAUCCCAAAGUGAAUAUGGGUCAUAUGUUACAUGAGUUUUUGUUCAAUACGCAUGUGUCAGGACCACUUUCAUGAAUAUUCAUAGCUCUUCCUGUAACCUGGUGAAAAUGUAGGUUUAGCCAACCUGUUCAGCCUGAACUACACUCCAAGCCCUCCUCCUUCAAAGCGCCUGUUUCUGGAGGCACGCUUCCCAGCCUGCAGGAUGGCCACCUUGCAGGCCAUAAAGUCUCCCCUUCUUUUCUAAAUUUAUUCAUUGUGGGGCUUUUUAAUAUAUACAUUUUUAAAAGAGAGAGAGAGACAGAGUCUCGCUUUGUUGCCCGGGCUGGUCUCAAACUCCUAGGCUCAAGCUAUCCUUCUGCCUCAGCCUCCCAAAGUGCUGGGAUUACAGGCAUGAGCCACCGCACCCAGCCCAUUGUUGGGCUUUUUUAAGUUAACGCUUGGUAUAUGUUAUAAAUACCUUCUCCCAGGUUGACACUUGUCGUCUUUGUUUACGGUGAUUUGUUCUCUAGAUUUUAAUUUCAAUGUAGUCAAAUUUAUCAAUCUGUUGUUAUGAUAGCUGACUUGUAGCUUUCUUAAGAAAUCCUUCCCUCUCCUGAGGUCACUAAGAUUUUCAUUUUCAUUUUCAUAGUUUUAUAGUUUUGUUUUUCACAUCUUUUUUUUUCUAUUUGGCUAUUAUUGGGGUAUAGCAACACUGUGGAUUUUUGUACAGCAAUCUUGUACCAAAAACCUUGUUGAAUUCUGUUAUUCUAGUAUUUUGUCUGUGCCAGGAACAGUGGUACACACCUGUAAUCCCAGCUUCUUGAGAGGCUGAGGCAGGAGGAUUGCUUGAACCCAGGUGUUCAAGGCUAGCCUGGGCAAUAUAGCAAGAUUCUGUCUCUAAAAAAAAAAAUCAUAUUAUGGUAGAUGGAAACUAGUAUGUGAUAAAAUAAAAAUGACUUUAAAAAAAUUUGUCUAAAGUUCUUUAGGAUUUUUUAUUUAGCAGAACAUUAUGCAAA
rnacentral:lncRNA from 10 species